rnacentral:rRNA from 1 species
GCUUGUCUCAAAGAUUAAGCCAUGCAUGUCUAAGUAUAAACGAAUUUAUACUGUGAAACUGCGAAUGGCUCAUUACAUCAGUUAUAGUUUAUUUGAUGGUCCUUGCUACUUGGAUAACCGUAGUAAUUCUAGAGCUAAUACAUGCAUAAAACCCUAACUUCUGGAAAGGGUGUAUUUAUUAGAUCCAACCAGCCCGGUUCGCCGGAGUCCCUGGUGAGUCAUAAUAACUGAGCGAAUCGCAUGGCCUUGUGCCGGCGAUGGUUCAUUCAAGUUUCUGCCCUAUCAGCUUUCGAUGGUAGGGUAUUGGCCUACCAUGGCGUUAACGGGUAACGGAGAAUUAGGGUUCGAUUCCGGAGAGGGAGCCUGAGAAACGGCUACCACAUCCAAGGAAGGCAGCAGG